rnacentral:rRNA from 1 species
UCACAGGGAGGUAGUGACAAGAAAUAACAAUACGGGGCUUAAUGUCUUGUAAUUGGAAUGAUGGGAAUUUAAACUUCUUCCAGAGUAUCAAUUGGAGGGCAAGUCUGGUGCCAGCAGCCGCGGUAAUUCCAGCUCCAAUAGCGUAUAUUAAAAUUGUUGCAGUUAAAAAGCUCGUAGUUGAAUUUCUGCUGCAUUUCAUUUCUCUUUCUGAGUUUGUUUUUUCGGCUUAUUUCGGUUUGAUUUUUUCUUUCCGGAUGAUUACUUUGAGAAAAUUAGAGUGCUCAAAGCAGGCUUUUGCCUUGAAUAGUUUAGCAUGGAAUAAUAAAGUAGGACUUUGGUUCUAUUUUGUUGGUUUUAGGUACCAAAGUAAUGGUUAAUAGGAACAGUGGGGGCAAUAUGUG